rnacentral:lncRNA from 1 species
AUAACAUUUUGCGCAGCUAGGCAACAAUACUGAUGCAGGUAUCUUUUGCAGAUGGUCGCAUGCGGUUGGACACAUGGAGAGAAUCAUUUUCGCAGUAUACUCAAAACCGUGUCUUUUUGACAACUGCUGACAGCUACAGGGACAAACACAAAAAAUGCUGCUUGGAGACAAGUGUCCACGAUAGUAGGAUUGCCAGAAGAAGACUGUAGGAGGAAGUGGAGAGGACUCAGGAACAGGUAUCAGAGAGACAGAAGGGCAGAGAAAGAGAAGAGGUCUGGGUCAGCAGCUUCAGGCCAGCAGCCUUGGCGCUUCUGCCACAUUCUUUCUUUUCUGGAUCCAUUUAUUGUGCCUAUGGCAACGAGUGGCGAUUUUACAGCCAGACCCUCUACUACGUCUACUUCAUCCACGAGUAUGACCACCACCGGUGCAGCCAUGGAAGACAGUGCGGCAGCGAUGAAGACGAUGAAAUGGAGGAAGCACCUCUGGAUCUCGGACCACCUGAGAUUAUUAUGAACCCCACAGAAGUGACCACUGAGGACCUCGUUGAACAGGAUGUGGCCGUGGAGACAAACGAGGAGAGAAACACAGAGAGAG